CCGCGGUAAUACGUAGGGUGCGAGCGUUAUCCGGAAUUAUUGGGCGUAAAGAGCUCGUAGGCGGUUUGUCGCGUCUGUCGUGAAAGUCCGGGGCUUAACCCCGGAUCUGCGGUGGGUACGGGCAGACUAGAGUGCAGUAGGGGAGACUGGAAUUCCUGGUGUAGCGGUGGAAUGCGCAGAUAUCAGGAGGAACACCGAUGGCGAAGGCAGGUCUCUGGGCUGUAACUGACGCUGAGGAGCGAAAGCAUGGGGAGCGAACAGG
rnacentral:rRNA from 1 species